UACAGAGGGUGCAAGCGUUAAUCGGAAUUACUGGGCGUAAAGCGCACGUAGGUGGCUUGAUAAGUUGGAUGUGAAAUCCCCGAGCUUAACUUGGGAAUUGCAUUCAAGACUGUCUUGCUAGAGUGUGGAAGAGGGAAGCGGAAUUCCAGGUGUAGCGGUGAAAUGCGUAGAUAUCUGGAGGAACAUCAGUGGCGAAGGCGGCUUCCUGGUCCAACACUGACACUGAGGUGCGAAAGCGUGGGGAGCAAACAGG
rnacentral:rRNA from 1 species